rnacentral:rRNA from 1 species
GGUGCUAACGUCCGUCGUGAAGAGGGAAACAACCCAGACCGCCAGCUAAGGUCCCAAAGUCAUGGUUAAGUGGGAAACGAUGUGGGAAGGCCCAGACAGCCAGGAUGUUGGCUUAGAAGCAGCCAUCAUUUAAAGAAAGCGUAAUAGCUCACUGGUCGAGUCGGCCUGCGCGGAAGAUGUAACGGGGCUAAACCAUGCACCGAAGCUGCGGCAGCGACACUGUGUGUUGUUGGGUAGGGGAGCGUUCUGUAAGCCUGUGAAGGUGUGUCGUGAGGCAUGCUGGAGGUAUCAGAAGUGCGAAUGCUGACAUAAGUAACGAUAAAGCGGGUGAAAAGCCCGCUCGCCGGAAGACCAAGGGUUCCUGUCCAACGUUAAUCGGGGCAGGGUGAGUCGACCCCUAAGGCGAGGCCGAAAGGCGUAGUCGAUGGGAAACGGGUUAAUAUUCCCGUACUUGGUGUUACUGCGAAGGGGGGACGGAGAAGGCUAUGUUGGCCGGGCGACGGUUGUCCCGGUUUAAGCGUGUAGGUGUGUGUUCCAGGUAAAUCCGGUUCACUUUAACACUGAGGCGUGACGACGAGGCACUACGGUGCUGAAGCAACAAAUGCCCUGCUUCCAGGAAAAGCCUCUAAGCAUCAGGUAACAU